rnacentral:rRNA from 1 species
UUGCGGUUAAAAAGCUCGUAGUUGGGUUUCUGCCGGUGAGCGACGGUCUGCCCCAGUGGUUGGUACACGUCGUGGCGCCGGCAUCUUCCUGGGGAAUGUGUCUGCACUUGAUUGUGUGGCGCGGGAUCCGGGACAUUUACUUUGAGGAAAUUACAGUGCUUCAAGCAGGCUCGCGCUCUCUGAAUACGUUAGCAUGGAAUAAUAGCAUCGGACCUCGAUCCAAAGCUGUUGGUUUCUUGGAUCUGGGUAAAGGUGAAUAGGGAUUGUUGGGGGCAUUCGUAUUUAACUGUCAGAGGUGAAAUUCUUGGAUUUGUUGAAGACGGACUACUGCGAAAGCAUCUGCCAAAGAUGUUCUCAUUGAUCAAGAACGAAAGUUAGGGGAUCGAAGACGAUCAGAUACCGUCCUAGUCUUAACCAUAAACUAUGCCGACUGGAGAUCGGUGGAUGCUAUUAUCAUGGCACCAUC